UCGGGUGCCGAUACCAGAGCGGGAAACACCCGGUCCCAUUCCGAACCCGGCCGUUAAGCCGCUCUGGGCCGAUGGUAGUGUGGAGGCAGCUCCACGCGAGAGUAGGUAGUGCCCGGG
rfam:Thermotoga sp. 50_1627 MPF_scaffold_2, whole genome shotgun sequence.